rnacentral:snoRNA from 1 species
GCUGGGACCAGUUGGGACCAGCUGUGGGCAAAAGACGUGUUUUGUCCACUGUUGCAGUCUUCCUAGAGCAAAGUGGAGGUUUCUGUCUGCUUUAGGAGAGCAAACUAAAGCAGAUCGUUCCCCUCCACACACG